GAGUGAAAUGAUGCUUUACCAUCUUUCGGGACUGACCUGGAAUGGAGAUACUCUUUUUAUUACUGAUCACUC